GAUGAACGCUAGCUACAGGCUUAACACAUGCAAGUCGAGGGGAAACGACAUUGGAAGCUUGCUUCCUUUGGGCGUCGACCGGCGCACGGGUGAGUAACGCGUAUCCAACCUUCCCGCAAGUAAGGGAUAACCCGUAGAAAUGCGGCCUAAUACCUUAUGUUUUCCUUAGAGGGCAUCUGAUGAGGAACAAAGAUCCGUCGCUUGCGGAUGGGGAUGCGUCUGAUUAGUUAGUCGGCGGGGUAACGGCCCACCGAGACGACGAUCAGUAGGGGUUCUGAGAGGAAAGUCCCCCACAUUGGAACUGAGACACGGUCCAAACUCCUACGGGAGGCAGCAGUGAGGAAUAUUGGUCAAUGGGCGGAAGCCUGAACCAGCCAAGUAGCGUGCAGGAUGACGGCCCUAUGGGUUGUAAACUGCUUUUAUAAGGGAAUAAAAGUGGGGCUCGUGAGCUCCUUUGCAUGUACCUUAUGAAUAAGGACCGGCUAAUUCCGUG
rnacentral:rRNA from 1 species